AAAUAUUAAGUUGGUGCAAAAGUAAUUGCGGUUUUUGCCAUUUAAAUUAAUUUUAAUGGCAAAAAACUGCAAUUACCUUUGCACCAACCUAUAUUAAAUAAAA
ensembl:miRNA